rnacentral:lncRNA from 1 species
GUAAUUUCAGCAAAGCAUCAUAUUAUAUAAGGUCAUCACAUGUGUGUAGUGUGGCUGUCAGAACGUAAUCUGAGUUGUCUCUUCAUCUGGCAUUUUGUUUCACAUUUACCUGCUGCUCACCUCUCUCCUCUACCUGUACACACAUUUUAAUAAUGCCAGCAGAGUGCAAAUGCAGCACACACACAUACAUAAAUCCCAGGUGUGUGUGUGUGGGUGCUGAAGUGCCUCCCAGGCCUCUGCAGUGUGCUGCAGGGUGGAGACAGAGCAGUAACCAUGGUGCAGAAAGAGUAAACAGGAAACUUGACACACACACAGUACAAGAAAUAUGAUCCACCUUGUUAUGGAGACGUAAACUGGAAACGAGUGAAAACUAGAAAACAGAAAUGGAAUAACUGCACGUGGAAUCCUGAUCACAUCACCUGCAUCAUGGCUCAGAAAAACACAUCUGGAGCGAAUCCCAUCCCCAGACUGGUUGUCAAGAUCGUAGGCAGCAAACAGGUCAAGCAGUUUAUCGAGGAGCCCCGAGAAGAAUCUGGAGACGUGUCAAAGAAAGAAGAGAGUCAUCCAGUUGAAGCUGCAUAUGAUGGUGAUUUCAAGAAACCUCCAGAAAAACAGGAUGUGAUGGUGUCCAGCUCUGACAGGAAGGUGGAGAACAGAGUGGACUCUGCACUUUGGGCUGUCAUACAGCAGGUUCCUGACAGACGGUGUGUGACAGCGCCCUCUGGUGAUCGCUCCAGGUCCUACAUCCACCCAAAGACUCGUCACAGCUGUGAACUGAGAGCAGCUGCAGUUCUGGAGAUAUCAGAGGAGGUUCUUCUGUGA